UACGUAGGUGGCAAGCGUUGUCCGGAAUUAUUGGGGCGUAAAGCGCGCGCAGGCGGCCUCUUAAGUCUGAUGUGAAAGCCCCCCGGCUCAACCGGGGAGGGCCAUUGGAAACUGGGAGGCUUGAGUAUAGGAGAGAAGUGGAAUUCCACGUGUAGCGGGUGAAAUGCGUAGAGAUGUGGAGGAACACCAGUGGCGAAGGCGACUCUUUGGCCUAUAACUGACGCUGAGGCGCGAAAGCGUGGGGAGCAAACAGG
rnacentral:rRNA from 1 species